AUUAUGCAUCAAUUUUAUCAUUGAAAUAUCGUCAUUUUCUUCCUUGCUGUGUUACAUUCCUCUAGUUGCAUAACUAGCCUGGUUUAACAUAGUAUCUCUGGUUUUUGGUUCGGUGCUAUGGAUUUUCUUGUUCAGAGCAAAGAGGGGAAAACAUCAGAAGCUCCUUUAGGCAACCCAAGUGCUAGUAAUUCUUUCAUUGACAAUAAUGAAAGAUGAGACCUUUGCUUCAGAUCAGGGAGGGUUUAAUAAUGAUGAAACAAAUCCUAGAGUUCAAGAAAGUUCUGAUUACCCUAAUUAUCAGUCUUACAUGGACAAAACACCAAGGUCAAGAUGGUCAAAACAAGACACAGAAUUGUUCUACGAGGCUUUGCAGCAGUUUGGUUCAGACAUAUCAAUGAUACAACAGCUUUUUCCUGGCCGGACGCGUAGCCAAGUCAAGUUGAAAUAUAAGAAAGAAGAGCG